CACUCCUAAUGGUAAUCACAACAACGUACUUUUGGUCGUUUUAUAACAAAUGCCCUUUUGCAGUAGCUGGUCCUGUCCACUCCCAGUUUUGUUCAUUCCAUUUUUAGGCCCCUCUCUCUCUUUCUCAUCCCUUUUCUCUUUCCCCAUCUUCAACCAACCAUGCUUCAGUUUCAGAAUUUCUGCUGAAACCAUCUCUAAAUCGAUUAAUGCCUAGCUCUGUGAAGAACCCAUUUCAUUUGAAGAACUCAGCAGCUAAUUUCGAAGCAUUUUCUUAGAGGAUUCUAUCUUCAAUUUUUUGAGGUAGAAACCCUUGUCUGUGUUUAUAAUUUUGCACUGUCUGCUUUCCUUUUUCUUCUUCUAAGUAUAGAACCAUCACAUUAAGUAAGAAUUGUGUAAAUAAAACUUUCACUUCAUGCUAUAAUGAGGGACUUUCCUUCUUGUUUUGGUGAAAAUGGUGUUCAAGUUGCUGAUUCUUCGUCACCAAGUAGUGGUAGAACUGCUCAAAAUUCGGUUACAUGUGUGUAUCAGUGUCGAUUAAGCGGAUUUUCAUGCUUGAUUACUGUCACAUGGACCAAAUAUUUGAUGGGUCAAGGCCUCAGUGUUGGAAUUGAUGAUUGGACCAAUCACUGCCUCUGUAAAGUUGAUAUAAAACCAUGGUUGUUCUCUAAAAGAAAAGGGUGUAGAAAUUUAGCGGUGAAUUCUAGUUUAAUUGACAUAUUUUGGGACCUGUCCUCUGCUAAAUUUGGUUCUGCACCGGAACCACUCGAGGGAUUCUAUUUGGCUGUUGUUUUUAAUCAACAAAUGGUUUUACUUCUUGGAGAUUUGAGAAAGGAAGCAUAUAAGAAGAUAGAUGCAGCCCCUGUUGCUUCUAAAGCUAGUUUUAUUGCUAAGAGAGAACACAUCUUUGGGAAGAAGUUUUAUGGUGCAAAGGCUCAGUUUUGUGAUAAAGGGAAGACACAUGAUGUUGCAAUUGAGUGUGACACUGUGGGUGUUAAUGAUCCAUACCUUGUGAUCCGUAUAGACAGUAAGGCAGUGAUGCAGGUCAAACACCUCCGAUGGAAGUUCCGGGGCAAUUACACCAUUUUGGUGGAUGGGCUUCCGGUUGAAGUGUUUUGGGAUGUCCAUGAUUGGCUCUUUGGUAAUGUGAUGGGCAGUGCAGUUUUCAUGUUCCAAACUUGUCUAUCAGCUGAAAAAUUGUGGAGCAGCCAAUCUAUCUCCGAUCCCUCGGAAUUGAGCUGGUCAUCUUCCCAGACAUUUAGAGAUUCUCAAUUACAAGGAUUUUAGUGUUUUGAUGAAGGGAGUGAGCCAAAUUCGUCUCAACAGUCCCGUUUGUCCUAUCUAACAGAAAUGCCUUUCCUACUCAAUUCAACCUCGGUGUCUUCUUGUGUGGAUGGAUGUGUAGGCUUGAAAGUUGAAACAUAGUAAAUCAAUCAACUGCUUGGCUCAUGUUCAUUCAUUAAUAUAGAUGUUACUUUAUGCUUUCAAGACUUUCCUUGAGUGUCCGAAUCUUUUGCUGUUUCCCUAGUGUUCCUAAAAAUGUUUCAGAGAUGUUUCUGCUUGCAAGCUGACCGAAACAGGCACCUGGGACAAAAUUUUGAUUCUUGGUUGGAGCAAGGAAAAGAAACGAAUGAAGUAUCUUAUUCGAUCAUAUCUACACACACAUAUAUGCAUAUACUGUUUUUUUGCUUUGGAAUUACGUUUAUGUGGUGGCAUUGCAACCUGAUCAACAAAUACUUCAAGGGAGUUGCUGGAGAUGAAUUGUGAAAUUUUUAUUACUAAACGGAACGGAAAAAAAAAAAAAAAAAAGUAUGACAAAAUUAUCAAAAUUACUGAGUUUUGAUUUAGGAGGGUGAGAAGUAGAUGUCACUCAAAUAAAGAAGAUAGUCUUAACUCUUCUGGAUGUGGUGGUGGAGUUGUGGUGAUGUUGAAUGGGCUGUUUUGCUCUAGAGAAUGAACCAUUAAUUGUUCAUGGUUUGUCUUAGCUAGUGUGAGUCUGUGACAUGUACUUAAAAUGUAACUGGGUAUGAUUGGUUGGUUGUUGCUAAAGGAAAUUACCUAAAUAUUUAUAUUUAUAAGUAGAAUGAUUUCUUUUUCUUUUACUGGUAUUUUGAUCAGCAGUGGUUGCUUGCUGACACUUGUGUGGAUAUCCUAUAAUAAACUCAAAGUUGGGAACAACUGCAGUGAUGUAUAUGCAAGUGCUUCGAAAGGAAUUUAUAUUUGACUGAGUUAUGAUGAACAAUCUGAGCAAUAAAUAUAUGUAUAGGACUUAAAAAAAAGAACAAAAUUGAAGCAUCAUAGCUGAAUUAGUCUGGUAAAUUCUAAUAGACCUUGUGGUGCUUCAACUCUUCCUACUGUGAAAUUAUCUUUCUUUUUCAUCUGUGGAGACUGGGGAUAGAACUUAUGCUCAUGCGACAAGACAAAUGAUAUGCAAAUUCCCGUAUAAAUAUUCCAACUGUAGAAUAAUCAAAGUUUUUUAAUUACCAUAUAUUUUCCAACUGUCUGUAUGAUCAUCCUUGAAAAUCACAAUAUGAUUCUUCAGUUUGCAUUAAGUUCUGAUAUACACUUGACAUUUUUAAAAAAAAUAUAUGCACAAAGUGCAAGGUCCAAUCUUAAAAAUGAGCAUAAUGGGGUGUAUGUUUAAGACUGAAUAGCAUGGUGGCGGGGGACUCGGCAACGGGUUGAACAUUUUUGUGUAGACACUUAAGAGGGACAUCGAAUGAAAGAUUAAGCUUGCUUUGAUACCAGUUAUUACAGA